GCACGAACUCCGCUGCCUGAACUGUGUGUCCAUAUCUGCAUGAAGCCAUAUUAGACAAUGGGCUUGUGGGAAGGAAACAACGGCUAUGCAAGAGAUGCAGAAGGUUUGCCAACUAAAAUUCUCUACGAGUUCUUCAUCUUUCCCGUGCUUUCCGUAUAACCUGAACAUCUCAUCCUUCAAUUUCCUUGGAGAAACUGAGGACUGGCUGGAAAUCCUUAUGCUUACUGGAAUCAAGGGAUCCGUGCCAAUGCAAGGGGGACGGCCGGCGAAGCUCAAGUGGUUCAUUGCAGUGUCACAGGAAGUGGAGCCACGCCGU